rnacentral:lncRNA from 1 species
GCCCAAUACUCUGCAAGCUCAUCUGUGGAAUGGAUAGAGAAAAUGAAGCACAGAAUAUCAGCUUGAGCCCUGACUUUCUAGCUGGGUCAUGUCUCCAGUCACUUCCUGUCACUGGGCCUCAGCUGUCCCCCUGAGCACAAUGACAGGUCCAGAUAAAUCACUUGGUCUAAAACUUUGCCAGUAAAAAGGUGGAAAGAAAAAAAAAAUUUUAAUCCAAUGAAUUCAAGGCCAGCCUGUAGGGUUACCCGGUGGAGGAGAGCAGGUACAGACCGGAGAACAACAUGAUUCCAGAUUUGGUCUCAAGCAAUGAAAUCAAAGAAACAGAGAGUGAAGGAAGUAGGAAUACGAACAAUUUACAAUCCUGAACACUGCAAGUCACCCUAUGAUUAACAGUAGUGCAUGACAGCGUGUGCAGUUCUCCGCGACAACAGACGUUCAGGUAACAACUGCCUGAUGAAAACGCUGCAAAGAACAGCUGAGAGGACACUGCCCUGUUGGAGAAUAACUAAGCUACUCGCAACUGUUCACCACCAUAAGUGCAGUCACAGACAUCUCUCUCAAUACAAUUCUCUUUGACUACCCUCGGAUUACUCCCUUAGGAUAAAUAAGCGAAACAACUGUUAUCAAA